CCCUUAGAUGUCCUGGGCCGCACGCGCGCUACACUGACAUGUUCAACAAGCCUCCUAGUUCGACAGGAUUUGGGAAAUCUUUGAACGCAUGUCGUGAUAGGGAUAGAUCAUUGCAAUUAUUGAUCUUGAACGAGGAAUUCCUAGUAAACGCGAGUCAUCAGCUCGCAUUGAUUACGUCCCUGCCCUUUGUACACACCGCCCGUCGCACCUACCGAUUGAAUGCUUCGGUGAAGAUUCCGGAUAGGACUUUUUUGAUUUAUUUCAAUUUUGUCUUAAAAGCUAUCUAAACCUCAACAUUUAGAGGAAGGUGAAGUCGUAACA
rnacentral:rRNA from 1 species